rnacentral:rRNA from 1 species
GACGAACGCUGGCGGCGUGCUUAACACAUGCAAGUCGAACGAUGAAGCCGGAGCUUGCUCCGGUGGAUUAGUGGCGAACGGGUGAGUAACACGUGAGCAAUCUGCCCUUGACUCUGGGAUAACUGCGGGAAACUGUAGCUAAUACCGGAUACGACACCUUGGGGCAUCCCAGGGUGUGGAAAGAACUUCGGUCAAGGAGGAGCUCGCGGCCUAUCAGCUAGGUGGUGAGGUAAUGGCUCACCAAGGCGGCGACGGGUAGCCGGCCUGAGAGGGUGACCGGCCACACUGGAACUGAGACACGGUCCAGACUCCUACGGGAGGCAGCAGUGGGGAAUAUUGCACAAUGGGCGAAAGCCUGAUGCAGCAACGCCGCGUGAGGGAUGAAGGCCUUCGGGUUGUAAACCUCUUUUAGCAGGGAAGAAGCGAAAGUGACGGUACCUGCAGAAAAAGCACCGGCUAACUACGUGCCAGCCGCCGCGGUAA